GUUCAAAAUAAUAUGUUUAAACCUUUGUACAGUGGUAUGCUACUGUUGUCUGAUUUAUUUCGAUAUAAAGAUAAGGAUAUGUUAUAUUUUUGCUUUGUCAUAAGUGACCGUAGAACGAUACCAAAAAACUAUAGGUCACCGUACGGGCUUCGACAAUGACUAUCCUAUUUUAGUCUUAUUUGUAUAAUUGAGAGUCAUUGCGUUCACACAUACUAUUAUAAUUGAUCUUAUCAUUCUACAAAAACUGGACUGAAAUAGAAUUAUAAAUAUAGAAAUAACACCGAUCUUACACCAAUUAAAAAGAUAUGUGGGUUUUUCACAUUGUUGAAGGCUGACAUGGUAGUUAAUAAUAUAACAUGAAAUAUCAAUGUUCUAUCAUCAAAACUUUUUUAUGAUAAAGGAAACCCAAUAACGGGUUUCAGCAUUAGGCGGAAUAAGUUGUGAAUUACAAUAAAAACACUUUUCAAAGAUUGCAUGCUUAUAUCUAAUUAAGUACUCCAUACGCAAAUUAAUUUAAUGCAUCCGUCAACCAAUUGCAAUUUCAAUCUCGAUGGUACAACAAAUAACAUAGAAUAAAGAACAUAUUAAAACCAUACAGUAAGGAACAUACAAUAAAGAACAUAAAAUAAAGAACAUACAAUAAGGAACAAACAAAAAACAUACAAUAAAGAGAAAAUAGGGAACAAACAAAAAACAUACAAUAAAGAGAAAAUAGGGAACAAAUAAAAAACAUACAAUACAGAGAAAAUAGGGCAAAAAUAAAUAACAUACAAUAAAGAGCAAAUGAAGAACAAAUAAAGAACAUACAAUAAAGAACAAAUGAAUAUCAUACAAUACUGUAAACCAAGUAAUUUUCGCGUGCUACUUAUUUUCACGACUUCGCGAGUGAACAAAUAUCGUGAAUAUGUAAAACUUGGAUGUAUCCUUACAUAACUACACCAAGUAAAUUUGAGAAUAGCGAAAUUAAAUCGCCG
rnacentral:lncRNA from 1 species